AGCUCCAAUAGCGUAUAUUAAUGUUGUUGCGGUUAAAAAGCUCGUAGUUGGAUCUCCUGGGCCGAUGCACGGUCUUGUCGAUUGACAGGACUGUCGUCUGGCCUUGACAGCGAGCCGUCGGGUCUAGUGCUCUUGACCGAGUGUUAGUUCCGCGGCUCAAUUGUACUUUGAAUAAUGGAAUAGGACGUCGUUUCUAUUUUGUUGGUUUCUCGAAAUCGACGUAAUGAUCAAUAGGGACAGUUGGGGGCAUUAGUAUUGAAGCGACAGAGGUGAAAUUCUUGGACCGCUUCAAGACUCACUACUGCGAAAGCAUUUGCCAAGAAUGUUUUCA
rnacentral:rRNA from 1 species